rnacentral:rRNA from 1 species
AGAGUUUGAUCAUGGCUCAGGACGAACGCUGGCGGCGUGCUUAACACAUGCAAGUCGAGCGGUAAGGCUCCUUCGGGAGUACACGAGCGGCGAACGGGUGAGUAACACGUGAGCAAUCUGCCCUUCACAUCGGGAUAACUUCGGGAAACCGAAGCUAAUACCGGAUACGACCAUCGAUGGCAUCUUCUGAUGGUGGAAAGUUCCGGCGGUGGAGGAUGAGCUCGCGGCCUAUCAGCUUGUUGGUGGGGUAAUGGCCUACCAAGGCGACGACGGGUAGCCGGCCUGAGAGGGUGACCGGCCACACUGGGACUGAGACACGGCCCAGACUCCUACGGGAGGCAGCAGUGGGGAAUAUUGGACAAUGGGCGAAAGCCUGAUCCAGCAACGCCGCGUGAGGGAUGACGGCCUUCGGGUUGUAAACCUCUUUCAGCAGGGACGAAGCGAAAGUGACGGUACCUGCAGAAGAAGCACCGGCCAACUACGUGCCAGCAGCGGCGGUAAUUC